AAGCUCCUGUGUGGGCCUGGCCAGACCCCUGUGGUACCAAGAGGCACCACCUUGGUGUUCGUGCCCCACUCCCACUCCUUGCCUUUCUCCCAAGUCGCUGUCAUCUCCGACUGCAGAAGCUUUGAAAUGUCAGCAGAGAUCAAACCAUUUGUUUGAUCCCCUGCUGCACUCGCUUUUCACCAGGAGGCAGAGAUUGCUCUGAGAUUUUGUGCCUUUUGUGUGCGUGGGCUACGCGAGGGAUUCAGCGGCGCCGAGAUGCUGACACACGCAGGAGAGGCAGCUGGGUGCCCAGUGCUGCUCCCACUCAAGAAACAGCUCCUGGAGAUACAUCCCCAGCACCAGUAGCAACCUUUCCCCUCCCAGUGCACUGAGUUCUGUGCACUCAGCACCAGGACUGACUUCAAUGUCAUCAGAGCACACAGCAACAAUUAUCAGGAUGAUGCAGCAUGUGACACCACACUGGGACUUUCCACCACAGAGAGACUGAGCAGAGGCUGCAGCUCAAGAAGCCUUCAAGAGAGAAGUAUCUUUUUCGGUUAUGUACACACCAUUUUUGAAAGGAGACAAGGCCGACAAAAAUAAAGGAGGCAAAUAAAAACUUUGCUAAAGAGCACCCUGAUUACAUGCAGCACAUAUUCACAGGUUCUGGGAUCACUGAAAUUUCUGCGAUUUAAAUGGUACCAAAGACAAAGAAAAAAACAUAUGUAAACAUAUCAGGGCUGUCCUGAGAACUCUCUCAGGCAGAGCAGAUACAGCUCCUUUUUCUUCUCUUGAUGCUGAGACCAGAAGGCACCUUUCAGUCCUACCAUGGAAGAAGAAACAAAACAAUCUGGGGAAAGAACUGGGAAAAAAAUAUUGCCACGGAUCUUAUAAGAAGCAGCAGAAUAAAUGUGAGCAUAAAAAC